CCUAUGGGUGGCAGCAGUGGGGAAUAUUGCACAAUGGGGGGAACCCUGAUGCAGCAAUGCCGCGUGGGUGAAGAAGCACUCCGGUGCGUAAAGCUCUGUCAGCAGGGAAGAAAAUGACAGUACCUGGACAAGAAGCCCCGGCUAACUACGUGCCAGCAGCCGCGGUAAUACGGAGGGGGCCAGCGUUAUCCGGAUUUACUGGGGGUAAUGGGAGCGCAGGCGGCGUGGCAAGUCAGAUGUGAAAACCCGGGGCCCAAACCCGGGAGUGCAUGUGAAACUGGCAUGCUGGAGUGCCGGAGAGGUAAGCGGAAUUCGUGGUGUAGCGGUGAAAUGCGUAGAUAGUAGGAGGAACACCAGUGGCGGAGGCGGCUUACUGGACGGUAACUGACGCUGAGGCUCGAAAGCGUGGGGAGCAAACAGGAUUAGAUACCCUUGUAGUC
rnacentral:rRNA from 1 species